UCGGGUAUGGUGUAACGGCUAACAUUGCCGCCUCUCAUCGCAUCGCAAGCAGGGGGGUUUCGCGGCAGCUCGGGGUUCGAUUCCCCGUACCCGAA